GACGAACGCUGGCGGCGUGCCUAAUACAUGCAAGUUGAGCGCUGAAGGUUGGUACUUUUACCAACUGGAUUAGCAGCUAACGGGUGGGUAACGCGUGGGGAAUCUUCCUUUUAUCGGGGGACAACAUUUUGGAACGAAUGCUAAUACCGCAUAAAAACUUUAAACACAAGUUUUAAGUUUGAAAGAUGCAAUUGCAUCACUCAAAGAUGAUCCCGCGUUGUAUUAGCUAGUUGGUUAGGUAAAGGCUCACCAAGGCGAUGAUACAUAGCCGACCUGAGAGGGUGGUCGGCCACCAUGGGACUGAGAAACGGCUCCAACGCCUAAGGGAGGCAGCAGUAGGGAAUUUUCGGAAAUGGAGGACAGUCUGACCGAGCAACGACGCGUGAGUGAAGAAGGGUUUCGGAUCGGAAAACUCUGUUGGUAGAGAAGAAAGUUGGUGAGAGUGGAAAGCCCAUCAAGUGACGGUAACUAAACAGAAAGGAACGGCUAACUACGUG
rnacentral:rRNA from 1 species